CCUACGGGAGGCAGCAGUGAGGAAUAUUGGUCAAUGGACGAGAGUCUGACCCAGCAACGUAGCGUGAAGGAUGACUGCCCUAUGGGUUGUAAACUUCUUUUAUAUGGGAAUAAAAUGUUCCACGUCUGGGUUUUUAUAUCUACCCUAUGUAUAAGGAUCGGCUAACUCCGUGCCAUCAGCCGCGGUAAUACGGAGGAUCCAAGCGUUAUCCGGAUUUAGUGGGGUUAAAGGGAACGUAGGUGGAAUGUUAAGUCAGUUGUGAUAGCUUGCGGCUCAACCGUAAGAUUGCAGUUGAAACUGGCGGUCUUGAGUGCAGUAGAGGUGGGCGGAAUUCGGGGUGUAGCGGUGAAAUGCUUAGAUAUCACGAGGAACUCCGAUUGCGAAGGCAG
rnacentral:rRNA from 1 species